GACGAAAGUCUGACCGAGCAACGCCGCGUGAGUGAAGAAGGUUUUCGGAUCGUAAAGCUCUGUUGUGAGUCAAGAACGUGUGUGAGAGUGGAAAGUUCACACAGUGACGGUAGCUUACCAGAAAGGGACGGCUAACUACGUGCCAGCAGCCGCGGUAAUACGUAGGUCCCGAGCGUUGUCCGGAUUUAUUGGGCGUAAAGGGAGCGCAGGCGGUCAGGAAAGUCUGGAGUAAAAGGCUAUGGCUCAACCAUAGUGUGCUCUGGAAACUGUCUGACUUGAGUGCAGAAGGGGAGAGUGGAAUUCCAUGUGUAGCGGUGAAAUGCGUAGAUAUAUGGAGGAACACCAGUGGCGAAAGCGGCUCUCUGGUCUGUCACUGACGCUGAGGCUCGAAAGCGUGGGUAGCGAACAGGAUUAGAUACCCUGGUAGUCCACGCCGUAAACGAUGAGUGCUAGGUGUUAGGCCCUUUCCGGGGCUUAAUGCCGGAGCUAACCGCAAUAAG
rnacentral:rRNA from 1 species